ensembl:lncRNA
GGUCGUUUAUCCUGUCUGUCUCUAUGUUGCCUUGUGAUUGACUGUCCAGGGUGUACCCAGCCUCUCACCUGUUGAAAGCUGGAGAGAGGCAUCAGCCAUGUUUUUGUUUUGAAUUCAGUCUUAAUGUAAGUAAAUCACUCGACUUAGUCUUUUCACGAAAUUGUAUCUCCCUACAGACACAGAGCAUUGAGAAGAAAAGGGAUGUUGUUAUCUGCUGCCUCAUUAGCUACCUCGGGGAAAGACAAGAAGAUCUUUUUCAUGACUGCCAGGAAUGUGAGGAUUACACAGACAAUAUGAUGAAGGUGAUCGUGAUCCACAACAUCAUGGCUGAGGAGGAUCCAUCAGAUGUGUUCAUUGUGAUUGAGGGAAACCAAGUGAUGGAGGGAUGUGGAAGCCGAACAAAGGCAUGUGUACA